rnacentral:tRNA from 14 species
CCUUUGAUAGCUCAGUUGGAAGAGAGGAGGACUGUAGAAGAGAAAAACGUUGCUGACAUCCUUAGGUCGCUGGUUCAAUUCCGGCUCGAAGGA